rnacentral:rRNA from 1 species
UACGUAGGUGGCAAGCGUUGUCCGGAUUUACUGGGCGUAAAGAGCGCGCAGGCGGUCGUUCAAGUCGCGUGUGAAAGCCCCCGGCUCAACUGGGGAGGGUCACGCGAUACUGAUCGACUCGAAGGCAGGAGAGGGUAGUGGAAUUCCCGGUGUAGUGGUGAAAUGCGUAGAAAUCGGGAGGAACACCAGUGGCGAAGGCGACUACCUGGCCUGUUCUUGACGCUGAGGCGCGAAAGCUAGGGGAGCAAACGGG